CUGUCGUGGUAGAGCGUAACAAAUAGAUCCUGAUGUGGUGGAAGUUUUGCACACCAACGGGGCCGCCUCUAGCGUUGUUUUGCCCAAGUGUUUGAGCUGGCUCUUGCCCCUCCCCCAUCUUCUUUCCCUCAUGCCCCAAAGUUACAAAACCAGAAUUUCCUUCCUGAUAAAAACUUCCAACCCCGUUGCCGAUUGGUUCCAGUUUGGGAAAGGACGUGACAUCAGCCCCACCGCUCAUUUCACGCAGUGUGUUCUCCCUGGGUUCCGGCAGGCUAACAGGCGAGCCGUGUCCGGUUGAAUCUGAACCCAGGUACUCGGGCCGCCUCUGGACCGAGCCCUAGCCUGCCGCAGAAGCCGUUCUGUUCAGAACGCACAGUUUGCUGAACAGAUGAGUCAUUCAACAGGGAUUUUCAGCAGGGAGGAUGGAAUUUGAACUCUCCUGAUCAACUGAAGUGGAACACUGCGCUUCAACUGUCCCAGUAGAAUGUGCAAUGGAUGGGCAAGGAGCAACUGAAAAUACCAGCAAGUUCCAGGGGCCGGAGGAACGGCCUGAGACCCAACUUCUCCCAAGUCCGUUGAUGAGUGAUUUUGUAUGUGACUGGUCUCCCAUGCACGAGGCUUCCGUUCACGGUCGACUACUUUCUCUGAAGAAACUCAUCAGUCAGGGCAGUGGGGUAAACCUCCUUACCGCUGACCGCGUGUCUCCCCUUCAUGAAGCCUGUCUUGGUGGCCAUCCUGCUUGUGCUGAUGUCUUACUAAAACAUGGGGCCCAGGUGAAUGGCGUGACUGUCGACUGGCGCACGCCUUUGUACAAUGCCUGUGUCAGUGGUAGUGUGGACUGCCUGAAUCUCUUAUUGCAGCAUGGAGCCAGCCCACAAGCAGUUUGUGACCUGGCCUCACCUAUCCACCAAGCUGCUAAAAGAGGGCAUGUGGCAUGUGUGGAGUCCCUAACAUCUCACGGAGUGGAUAUAGAUCACGAUAUCAAACACCUAGGGACUCCACUUUACGUGGCUUGUGAGAAUCAGCAGAUAGCCUGUGCCAAGAAGCUACUUGAAUCAGGAGCGAGUGCUAAUAGAGGCAGAGGUCUGGAUUCUCCUCUUCACUUGGCUGUCACGAAUUCCAACGCAGAUCUGGUCCACUUGCUGAUUGACUUCGGAGCAGACACGCAGUCCAAGAACAGAGAAGGCAAACGGCCAGUGGAGUUGGUUCCCCCGAGGAGCUCUCUGACCGAGCUCUUUUCUCAGUUAGAAGGUUGACAUCUUUGAGAAGAGAAUUCUGGACAAGGCCCCGUUGUGGCGGUGAAUGAAAGGGCUGUUUGGUUCCCUGCCCCCACGAGGGUUGGCAGCUUGGCCCGGUGGGCUGGGUGAUGUGCCCAGGUACCCAGCAGCCUCCAGACCUCGGCAGCUCUGCCACUUGCCAAUGAUGUUUCCUCCAGUUAUCCUCAAGGUCCACCAGGCAGCAGACAUGCUGGCAGUCAACCCGUGAGGGUGGUAUGUGGGGAAUGCAGUCAUCACCGUUCUUGGCUCCUGGGCACUUAGGGAACGACCUUCCGAUGAUCCCGCAUUUAUCUGGAUAGAAGGCGAUGUGAUGACCUUAGGAACACUUGCCCACAUGGGUAGUGUGGUUCAGGGGCCCGGGUAGUAUGGCACCAGUUUCCUGUCAUACAAGGUUCAUCAGCAAAGGAGGAUUGACAUGAGCUGAGGGGAUUUCCAGACAUACCUCAACAUGCUGGGUGGCCACUGAUCCACGCGUGGAUUCCAGGAGAAAGACUGGAUUCCACCUGAAGAACCAAAUUGGGGCAAGGAAAGCAGCUGACUCCCUGCCUGGCCAAGAGGAGACUUCAGAGCCACAGGAGAUUUGAUGCCAGGUGCGCAGGUGCGGCUGCUGUGGAUAGCUGUCCUCCUUCAUUUUUGAAGAAGAUGCCGCUGACGGUGGAAUCCACUCCGUGCCUGCACGUGAGACUUUCAAGCCCGUCGUGGGAUGGACAGUCCCUUCCUCGCCUCGUGCAGGCUCAGCAAAUAGCUUGCAAGGGAGAAGACGGGCAGGUGGUGACUUCAGAGAUGCGCAAGAUUGCCCGCUGCUACAUCUCUCCAGUGCAGAACUUCUUCCUCGGACUCUCUCAAAAGCCAGCAAGUCCUUCUGUCCUGCACCUCACUGGGACUCAAUGCUAUGGGGUUUUUUGUGUUUUUUUUGUUUUUUUACUGAUAAGGAACAAAGCGCUGCUUAAACGAACUGGAGAAAUUCUAAAGUUCUGGGAGAGUUGACGUUUUAAAUCCUGAAAAAACAUUGGAAGGAGAUUAAAAGCAGCUUACCUGCGAGUAUAAAUCCUCAUUCGUCUUUGUCGGAACAUUAAAAGCGUUUUCUUUUAA